rnacentral:rRNA from 1 species
AAGUGGAGCAAUCCAUGAGUAAAGUGGCGACCGGGUGAGUAACACGUGACUAACCUACCUUUUAGUGGGGGAUAACCUCGGGAAACCGAGGCUAAUACCGCAUAACAUCGCAAGAUCAAAGGAGCAAUCCGCUUGAGGAGGGGGUCGCGGCUGAUUAGCUAGUUGGCGGGGUAACGGCCCACCAAGGCGAGGAUCGGUAGCCGGCCUGAGAGGGCGCACGGCCACACUGGAACUGAAACACGGUCCAGACUCCUACGGGAGGCAGCAGUGGGGAAUUUUGCGCAAUGGGGGAAACCCUGACGCAGCAACGCCGCGUGGAGGAUGAAGCCCCUUGGG